CCUGCCUCCAGAGGCAUUGCAGGUAUGACUGUUUGUCAUAUGUGUGUCAGUAGGUGGCAGAGAGGAAAGAGGCUACGCCUAUGCUCAGUGUUCUGACGUGUGAAUGUCUGAAUGGUUAGUGGCCUACCACU